AUCUAAUAGUAAUUAUUAUUAGUAAUACCUGCUCAAUGAAAUUUAAAUAGCCGCAGUUUAUACUGUGCUAAGGUAGCAUAAUCAUUUGUCUUUUAAUUUAAGACUAGAAUGAAAGGUUUAACAUUUUAUUUAUUAUAUAUCCCUUUAUAUCUUAAAAUUUUUCUAAAUGUAAAAAAACAUUUAUAUAAAAGAAAGACGACAAGACCCUAUCGAACUUAACUUUAGUUUAACUGGGGCAGUUAAUUAAAAAUCAUUUUAAUUUUAAAUAUAAAAUAAACGAUCCAAUUUAAUUGAUCUAAUAAUCAAGUUACCGUAGGGAUAACAGCGUAAUAAUUUUCUAUAGAUCUUAUAUAAAAAAAAGUUUGCGACCUCGAUGUUGAAUAGUAUUCUAAUAUAUGCAAAAACAUAAAAAGAUAGUCUGUUCGACUAUUAAACAACUACA
rnacentral:rRNA from 1 species